rnacentral:rRNA from 1 species
GGGUUGUGAGGUUAAGCGACUAAGCGUACACGGUGGAUGCCCUGGCAGUCAGAGGCGAUGAAGGACGUGCUAAUCUGCGAAAAGCGUCGGUAAGGUGAUAUGAACCGUUAUAACCGGCGAUGUCCGAAUGGGGAAACCCAGUGCAAUUCGUUGCACUAUCGUUAACUGAAUACAUAGGUUAACGAGGCGAACCGGGGGAACUGAAACAUCUAAGUACCCCGAGGAAAAGAAAUCAACCGAGAUUCCCCCAGUAGCGGCGAGCGAACGGGGAGCAGCCCAGAGUCUGAAUCAGCUUGUGUGUUAGUGGAACGGUCUGGAAAGUCCGACGGUACAGGGUGAUAGUCCCGUACACCAAAAUGCACAGGUUGUGAACUCGAAGAGUAGGGCGGGACACGUGGUAUCCUGUCUGAAUAUGGGGGGACCAUCCUCCAAGGCUAAAUACUCCUGACUGACCGAUAGUGAACCAGUACCGUGAGGGAAAGGCGAAAAGAACCCCGGCGAGGGGAGUGAAAAAGAACCUGAAACCGUGUACGUACAAGCAGUGGGAGCACCUUCGGGUGUGACUGCGUACCUUUUGUAUAAUGGGUCAGCGACUUAUAUUCUGUAGCAAGGUUAACCGUAUAGGGGAGCCGCAGGGAAACCGAGUCUUAACUGGGCGUUAAGUUGCAGGGUAUAGACCCGAAACCCGGUGAUCUAGCCAUGGGCAGGUUGAAGGUUGGGUAACACUAACUGGAGGACCGAACCGACUAAUGUUGAAAAAUUAGCGGAUGACUUGUGGCUGGGGGGGAAAGGCCAAUCAAACCGGGAGAUAGCUGGUUCUCCCCGAAAGCUAUUUAGGUAGCGCCUCGUGAAUUCAUCUUCGGGGGUAGAGCACUGUUUCGGCUAGGGGGUCAUCCCGACUUACCAACCCGAUGCAAACUACGAAUACCGAAGAAUGUUAUCACGGGAGACACACGGCGGGUGCUAACGUCCGUCGUGAAGAGGGAAACAACCCAGACCGCCAGCUAAGGUCCCAAAGUCAUGGUUAAGUGGGAAACGAUGUGGGAAGGCACAGACAGCCAGGAUGUUGGCUUAGAAGCAGCCAUCAUUUAAAGAAAGCGUAAUAGCUCACUGGUCGAGUCGGCCUGCGCGGAAGAUGUAACGGGGCUAAACCAUGCACCGAAGCUGCGGCAGCGACACUAUGUGUUGUUGGGUAGGGGAGCGUUCUGUAAGCCUGCGAAGGUGUGCUGUGAGGCAUGCUGGAGGUAUCAGAAGUGCGAAUGCUGACAUAAGUAACGAUAAAGCGGGUGAAAAGCCCGCUCGCCGGAAGACCAAGGGUUCCUGUCCAACGUUAAUCGGGGCAGGGUGAGUCGACCCCUAAGGCGAGGCCGAAAGGCGUAGUCGAUGGGAAACAGGUUAAUAUUCCUGUACUUGGUGUUACUGCGAAGGGGGGACGGAGAAGGCUAUGUUAGCCGGGCGACGGUUGUCCCGGUUUAAGCAUGUAGGCUGGUUAUCCAGGCAAAUCCGGAUAAUCAAGGCUGAGGUGUGAUGACGAGGCACUACGGUGCUGAAGUAACAAAUGCCCUGCUUCCAGGAAAAGCCUCUAAGCAUCAGGUAACAUUAAAUCGUACCCCAAACCGACACAGGUGGUCAGGUAGAGAAUACCAAGGCGCUUGAGAGAACUCGGGUGAAGGAACUAGGCAAAAUGGUGCCGUAACUUCGGGAGAAGGCACGCUGGUGUGUAGGUGAAGUCCCUGCGGAUGGAGCUGAGACCAGUCGAAGAUACCAGCUGGCUGCAACUGUUUAUUAAAAACACAGCACUGUGCAAACACGAAAGUGGACGUAUACGGUGUGACGCCUGCCCGGUGCCGGAAGGUUAAUUGAUGGGGUUAUCCGUAAGGAGAAGCUCUUGAUCGAAGCCCCGGUAAACGGCGGCCGUAACUAUAACGGUCCUAAGGUAGCGAAAUUCCUUGUCGGGUAAGUUCCGACCUGCACGAAUGGCGUAAUGAUGGCCAGGCUGUCUCCACCCGAGACUCAGUGAAAUUGAACUCGCUGUGAAGAUGCAGUGUACCCGCGGCAAGACGGAAAGACCCCGUGAACCUUUACUAUAGCUUGACACUGAACAUUGAGCCUUGAUGUGUAGGAUAGGUGGGAGGCUUUGAAGCGUGGACGCCAGUCUGCGUGGAGCCAACCUUGAAAUACCACCCUUUAAUGUUUGAUGUUCUAACGUUGGCCCCUUACCGGGGUUGCGGACAGUGUCUGGUGGGUAGUUUGACUGGGGCGGUCUCCUCCCAAAGCGUAACGGAGGAGCACGAAGGUUAGCUAAUCCUGGUCGGACAUCAGGAGGUUAGUGCAAUGGCAUAAGCUAGCUUGACUGCGAGCGUGACGGCGCGAGCAGGUGCGAAAGCAGGUCAUAGUGAUCCGGUGGUUCUGAAUGGAAGGGCCAUCGCUCAACGGAUAAAAGGUACUCCGGGGAUAACAGGCUGAUACCGCCCAAGAGUUCAUAUCGACGGCGGUGUUUGGCACCUCGAUGUCGGCUCAUCACAUCCUGGGGCUGAAGUAGGUCCCAAGGGUAUGGCUGUUCGCCAUUUAAAGUGGUACGCGAGCUGGGUUUAGAACGUCGUGAGACAGUUCGGUCCCUAUCUGCCGUGGGCGCUGGAGAAUUGAGGGGGGCUGCUCCUAGUACGAGAGGACCGGAGUGGACGCAUCACUGGUGUUCGGGUUGUCAUGCCAAUGGCACUGCCCGGUAGCUAAAUGCGGAAGAGAUAAGUGCUGAAAGCAUCUAAGCACGAAACUUGCCCCGAGAUGAGUUCUCCCUGAGACUUUAAGUCUCCUGAAGGAACGUUGAAGACGACGACGUUGAUAGGCCGGGUGUGUAAGCGCAGCGAUGCGUUGAGCUAACCGGUACUAAUGAACCGUGAGGCUUAACCUUACAACGCCGAAG